rnacentral:rRNA from 1 species
UACGUAGGGUGCGAGCGUUGUCCGGAAUUAUUGGGCGUAAAGGGCUCGUAGUCGGUUUGUCGCGUCGGGAGUGAAAACCCAGGGCUUAACCCUGGGCUGGCUUCCGAUACGGGCAGACUAGAGGUAUGCAGGGGAGAACGGAAUUCCUGGUGUAGCGGUGAAAUGCGCAGAUAUCAGGAGGAACACCGAUGGCGAAGGCAGGUCUCUGGGCCGCUACUGACGCUGAGAAGCGAAAGCAUGGGGAGCGAACAGG